UGUUCUUGAGACUCGGCGAGUUGAGUCGGGGUGGCCCCGCGAUUCUUACCAGGUGGAACUCGUCGAGUUAGGGGAAUACUCGACGUGUCAAAAAGGGAAUCCUAGAGAGUUGGUGAAAACGUCUAGACUCGCCGAGUCGCCUUAGUGCACUCGCCGAGUCCGGUCAAAGUUGACCGUUGACCGUUGACCAGAGUUGACCAGUGUUGACUUCUUAGGGGUAGUCAACCUUAGUGUUAAAAAGUGUUAAUUAGAGACAUAUGAUGUUAUAGGAGGAUUAUAGCUCGGAGGAUCGAGCACAAGGGAUUUCAGGAUUCGUGAGUCAUCGAGAUACGCGAGGUGAGUCUUCUCACUAUACUUUACCUUGAGCAGGUAAUCAGAGUUAUGUGUCAGAGUAUGUGUAUGUUAUGUGUAUGCUAUGUGUUGUACUGCAUGAUGUCUAUGUGAUUUAUGCUGUGCAUGUUUAUAGAGUUGGAACCAGAAGGUUCCCAGAGUUAGAACCUGAGGGUUCACAGAGCUUGGGUGCACGGACCCAUAGAGUUAUAGCCUCGAGUGGCUAAAUUAUAUGUGAUAUGUUUGUGGUAUUUUGGGGAACUCACUAAGCUUUGUGCUUACAGUGUUAGUGUUGUUGUUUCAGGUACUAGCGAUGACCGUGGGAAGGCGCCGGCUUGAUCUGUACACACGCAUGGGAUUUUUGAUAUACAUUGAUCUUGGGAUUUUGUAUAAUGUGAAUUGAGAUUUAAACUUGAUGUUUUUAUGAAAAGUUAAUGAGAAAUGUUUUUAUAAAUUGUGAAAAAUUAUUUUGAAAUUCACGGUGUUACAAGUUGGUAUCAGAGCCUUGGUUUGAGGGAUUCGAGUACACCUUCGAGUGUAUUUGAACUCAAACUGAGGAUUUGAGAAGUAUUUUCAAAAAAAAAAGUAUAAAAGAUUUUGAAAAUGCAGAGCAGAGUUGUGUGUACGAUGAGUCCGUGCCCGAACGGUGAUUUGCCAAAAUACCCUUAUGUUAUGUGAUAUUGAUACUAAUAUGAUGUAUUCGCAUGCUAGUGUAGGCUAGGUAUUCCUGUUAGAACUAGAGUGGCCUAAUUUGUGAUGCCUUAGCCUAGGAAGAGGUGAGCUGCUAUGAGAUGCUUGAGAGUGAGUAGGUAGCAGCAAGGGGCUUAUAAGAGAUCUAUUAGAAGGAGGUCUAUGCAUGAUAGAGUACAUGGAAAUUGGGAUCUGAAGAGGAGGACUUGGGGUGCAUUCUGAUACGGUGUGGACAGUAGUAUUGGGCCCGUACUACUGGAAGCACCGGAGCGGUGUACAGCUCAAGUAAGAAUCUUUGGAAUACCAAGAAUCAAGGAGGAAAGAGUUGACGAGUGUGAGUAUGCUCGUAAGGGUUCUAAUUUAUUGUAUGUUGUAUUUCAGAGAUAGAUCAUGGUGAGGACACGCUUGAUGCCCGAGAGCAGUGGUACCAGUGAUGAGGAGAUCCGCCGGAUCAUUCAUGAGGAGGUGGCUGCGGCCAUCAGGGCAGAGAUACUAGAGAUGUUUGGGUCUAUAAAGACCACGCUGAUUGAGUCGUUUGAUGAGCGUUAUGCCGCUCUUUCUGAGGCUGCUGUUGCAGCAGCGAGGCCGCAAGGUGGUGAUGCGUUGCUGUUCCGGGAGUUCAGCAAAACAAAACCACCAGAGUUUCAUGGGACCCAAGAUCCGGUGGCAGCGAUGAGGUGGAUAUCUGAUAUUGAGGGGUGCUUCUUCACUUGCUCAUCUCCUGAGCAUUUGAAGGUCCGGUUCGCGCUGAACCAGCUUCGCUUGGGAGCGAAGGAUUGGUGGAAGUUUGUGACGGCACAUUAUAUGCCUGCUGAGCUUGCGGCAAUGACCUGGGAGAGGUUCACUGUCAUGUUCCGAGAUGCGUACGGCACAAGAGUUUCUGACCCUCAAGCAGGGUAUUGAGUCGGUUACAGCGAUCACGAGGAUGUUCCAUGAGAAGGCGAUGUUUUGCCCUGAGCACGUGUCCACUGUGCAGGCACAUAUGAGCCGUUAUUUGAGCAUUUUGAGGAGGGAUAUUUGGGAGUUCGCGGCGAACUCCUCGUACCGGACAUUUGCGGAGCUUCAGGCAAAUGCCCGGAAGAGGGAGAUUGAGCUUGAGACUCAGGCCAGGGAGGAGGCGGAGUCUCAGGGGAGGGAUCGGCGACCGGCACAGUCUCAGCCGGCAGCCAAGCGGGCCAAGCCCGCUGAUCCCAAACCAGGGAACCAGAAGGGCCGCAAUUGUGGGAAGUCCGGCAAGGGUCAUAAUGGAGUCUGCCGAGUGGGAUCUUGCUACAAAUGUGGCAAGGAGGGGCAUAUGGCCAAGGAUUGCCCCAAGGGGUUUGCAGUGUGCUUCCACUACAAUCAGACCGGACACCGGAAGGCAGAGUGUCCGCAGCUGCGAGGGUCAUCUCAGGGAGCACCUCAGGGAUCUGCCCCUUCCGCCAUCAGAGCUACAGAGAGUCGGCCAGUGAAGGNAGGCACCGAAGGCACGAGGGAGAGCCUUUCAGUUGACCGCGGAGGAGGUCCGCGUAGCGCCCGAUGUCGUGGCUGGUAUGUAUUCUUUCGUGUAUUUAUUUUGAUGUUGAGAUAUUAUGCUUAUAUUAUGUUAUGCGUAGGUACUUUUCUUGUGAAUUCUGUACCUACCUUGGUGUUAUUUUACUUGGGUGCGAGUCGGUCUUUUGUAUCUUUGGCUUUUAGUCAGCAUAUCAGUGUUAGUCGUGAGGCGUUGUGUCGGCCUCUGAGUGUUUUCAUAGCUGAUGAGAGGGUGAUAUAUGCCACGGAGGUUCUCCGAGGUUGCGUAGUUGAGAUAUUUGGUGUUGAGUUCCCGAUUGAUCUGGUUCCUAUUGCUAUGGGUGAUGUCUGUGUCAUUGUGGGCAUGGAUUGGUUGAGCAGAUUCGGUGCGGUCAUCGACUGUGAGCGACAGCUGGUGACCAUACGAGACCCUAGUGGGGGAGUUCUUUCGGUAUACGGCGAGGGUACACGUUCAGGAUCAGCGUUUUGUUCGGCCGCUAGGGCGAGGCAGUGUCUACAGCAGGGCUGUAAGGGUUUUGUGGCGUAUGUGAUGGAUACGCGGGUGGAUUCCGAGAGACCGAGGUCAGUUGAGGAGGUUCCGGUAGUGCGUGAGUUCCCGGAUGUAUUUCCCGAGGAGUUGCCGGGUGUGCCUCCUGUGAGGCAAGUGGAGUUCAGUAUCGAUUUGGUUCCGGGGGCCGCGCCUAUCGCUAAGGUGCCUUAUCGCCUUGCACCUCCAGAGAUGCAAGAGUUAUCCUCGCAGCUUCAGGAGCUGCUGGGGAAGGGGUUUAUUCGGCCGAGCAGCUCGCCGUGGGGAGCACCUAUCCUGUUCGUCAAGAAGAAGGAUGGUUCACACCGGAUGUGCAUUAAUUACCGGGAGUUAAACAAGCUGACGGUCAAGAACCGUUACCCAUUGCCGAGGAUCGACGAUUUGUUCGAUCAGUUGCAGGGAGCAUCUUGGUUUUCCAAGAUCGAUUUGAGAUCGGGAUAUCAUCAGGUGAGGGUGCGGGAUGAGGAUGUCCAAAAGACAGCGUUCAGGACUCGGCGAUUAGGAUAACACCUUAGAUGUUCAUAAUUGCAUGUAUAAUAGAGAAAACAUAGAUCCAAGGUAUUAGGAGUGUUAGAAUGCUCAAAACCCAACAAAUUGUAACAGCCCGGAUUUCCAGGUAUCUUUUAUGUUUAUGUCUUUGGUGUUUUGAGAGGGGACUCGGCGAGUUGGAGCUCAGACUCGCCGAGUAGGAUCGCGGUUCUGGACGCGGGUUCGCGCUUGGACUCGGCGAGUCCAAGGUAUGGACUCGGCGAGUCUGCGAUGUUUAGUGAAACCCUAAUUCCUCGGGUUUGGGACCUAUUUAAAGGGCCUUUAGGCCAUCAUUUGUGCUCACCAGUCGCUUGAGUGAAACCCUAGCAAGUGUGAGCGUUUGGAGCAAAGUAGGAAGCCAUUAUUGACCUUGGAGGUAUCUUUUUGCAAGGAAAAAGAAGAAUUAGCUAAGGGAAAGCAAGGGGAGCCACUUCAUGAAGGCUUGAGGUCCAGAACAUCACAUUUGAGGUAUAUUCUUCGAGCUAUUUCUGCUAUGUUGAGAUUUAUGUUGAUUUAGGGCUUAUUGAGCCCUUUUAUGAUAAGAUCUAGUGCUUCCUUGGUCCCUUGAGUGAGUUAAGUUGUAGAUCUGGACCUUUGGAGGUCCAGAGUGUCCCUUUGCCCAAGCUUUUUACGAAUCUAUAAGGGUUUGGAUUUGGGGUCCUUGUGCUUAAGGUCAAAACACCAUUUAUGAGUCAUGGGUUGUGUUAUGAGCACCAAGUUAUGGACUUUACGUGAUGAAUUAGCUUAAGAAGGCCAGAUCUAUGAGUUGUUGGAGCGGAUCUGACCUCAGAAGCAAGUUUGAGUUGGUGCAUGGCAUGGACUCACCGAGUCUGAAGAACAGACUCGGCGAGUAGCAUGAAGAUUGUCCUUGACCACUCAGUGAGUGGUCCAGCCGAGUUAUGAGUCGACUCAGUGAGUCGGGGCGAGUUAGAAGUUGACAGGUGGACUGAGACGAACUAGAACUCGCCGAGUUGUUCUUGAGACUCGGCGAGUUGAGUCUGGGUGGCCCCGCGAUUCUUACCAGGUGGAACUCGUCGAGUCUAGACGUUUUCACCAACUCUCUAGGAUUCUUAGGGGUAGUCAACCUUAGUGUUAAAAAGUGUUAAUUAGAUACAUAUGAUGUUAUAGGAGGAUUAUAGCUUGGAGGAUCGAGCACAAGGGAUUUCAGGAUUCGUGAGUCUUCUU
rnacentral:lncRNA from 1 species